GAAGUAGCUGAUGCAUAUGCCUUUUGGCUUCUGAUGACAGUCGAUAUAUUACUGGAAUCAGCCUUGAAGUUGCUGGUGGACUCUUCAUUGGCUGAAAACUGUUGAAUAACACUAAACUGAUCACCAGCUCUGUGCCUUCUUCGUAGUAAAAUUGUAUAAAUUACAUUUAAUUGCUGUAAAAUAUUGUAUACAGUGUAACAAAUGAAAAUUAAAAAUCUAUAUUUAUACAA